rnacentral:hammerhead_ribozyme from 1 species
AUCCAGCUGAUGAGUCCCAAAUAGAACGAAACGCCCGUCCUAGAU